AAGCCCCGCCUGAAUUUCUUGUCUGGCCUCUUAUCAAUUUCUAUUGAUUAAGGAGGCCAAGAACCCUGGUUGGUAAGAGAUCUAAAAUUCUCAGUCUUGUAAUAUGUGAACACAAAUACCAUCACCAGGUAAAUUAUAUUUGAUACGUAAACCAGCUGGAAGGUGGGUAUCUAGGUCUGCUUAUACCAUUCUCUUUAUUUUUAUAUAACGUUAAAAUAAAAGCAAUUAGGCAACUAACUUUGGUGACUUGAACAUAAUCUUUAAUUGGCACCUCUCCUCCAGAUUCUCCCUGAACUUGGGAAAGGUAUAUAAAAAUAUCAGGAAGUCUAUUUUAGUCUGUAAACCAGGAAACUGAAAAGUACAUGCAAGGAACUCCUUCAGUAUCUGAAAUGGACACUACUAGUACAUCCUUAGCUAGAAGUGCAGGAAUAUGUGGUGAAAGUGGUCCACACAGUAGGUUAUUGUAUAUUUGGGGAACAAUUUCACUUUACCAAUAUCCUUGAGAAAGCUAUAGAUAAAAGAGCAAAGAUUUUUUUAAAAAGUAUGUUUACUCCAUGCAUGGCAUACUCAUGGGGCAGUAGUCUUGCUGAAAGAGUGACCAUUUAACCUAGAGAGAAAGUGGCCCAGCUAGUUGCCCGCAACACACUUAUCAGGACCUCCUUCAGCAAAGAGAUGCUGCUCUAUAGUAAAAAAGCCUCUAGAAGGAACACUUCCUCCUUCCAUAUUCUUUCCAUAUGACACCUUGAUGUCCAAAUUGGCAAAGUUAAAUCACAACAAAUCAAACAUUUUCCUUCUCUCUUUAACUGCCCCCUGACCUGGGAGAUUCUACCAGAAAUACACAAAGUCUUUUUGGAGAACCCAUCCCAAUUCACAAGACCGCAUGAGCACAGAUCUGCCUCUGUAAAGAUGUACAAGGAGAAAAAAAUCACUAGGAUGAGAAAUGCUUCAGCAGUUCAAGAGAAUCAAUCUGAGGAAUGAGACAUAACUAUCCUUUGAAAUGAUGUUUCUGCAAGAUAGAAGGUAGGAUGUUAGAAAAUCUUUUAUUUUCAGCAAGGCAGAAGACAUUGCUAGAGGAAGACAGGCUCAAAGAGGGAAAUUAUGACAUCAGGAAGGAUAAUUGCAUGGAAAGGGAAAACAUGAUUGCAAAAUUCUAAAAAGCAAUAGAAGCAGCAAGACUCAAUGGGAAUACUGAAGACAAGUGGAACAAUGAAAUAGAAAACAUAGAGUUUUAUUUUUUUAACAUAACUCAUAGACAAAAGGGUGGCAGCAUGAGAUUAAUAAGGAAAAAAUGAGACAUGGAGGAACUAUUGAUUCAUUAGUUUAUCAACACAGUUAACAAAUAUUUUUUGAUCACCCACUAUUUGAAGGCACUGUUGCAAGCACAGGUGAUAGAAUGAUGAGCAAUACAAUGUUCUUGCCUCACGGGUUAAAUUAUAGUGAGUGGUACUGAUAACAAUCACCUAGCAAAUAAAUGUAUAAUGAAAGGUUGGGUAGUGUCAAAUGCUAUGAAAAACAACCAAAGCAAGGUAGGGUAUAGAGCAUGAUAAUGGGGUUGCCAGAGAGGUCCUCUUUGAGGUGAGAUUUGAGCAGAUAAUGCAAAAAUGUAAGAGGGUGAACAAUGUAAAGAGCAUUGCAGGCAGAGUUUAGCAAGUUCAAAGACCAUGAGCAAGGAUGAGUAUGUGUGUAUUCAAGUAGAUAUAGUGGAAUGACCAAGGGUAGAAUGCUAGAAAAGGAAGUCAGAGAGUUAGUAAAUAGCAGAUAAUUUAGGUUCUAGAAGAUCACAGAAGGAGUUUGGAUUUAUCACAAGAGUAAGGUGAAGCCACUGGAGGGUUUUAAGCAGGUAAGUAACUCAGCUUGUAUUUUAAAGAGAUAAUGUUUGAAAUAAGAAAAUAUACAUGUAUCUGCUUUAGCUUCUUUUUUAAAAAGAGAAGUGAAAGUAUAAAGAAAUUGCUUACCUAUGGCAACUGAGUGGAAGGAAACAGGGUAGAAAAAGGGAAGGAAGUAACAUGUCCCCGUGAGAUUUUUACAUGUUCAUAAAUGAAAACAAAGGAGCCAAGCUAUAGUCCAGUAAACAACAUAAGUGGUCUUGAAAAGGGGGCCUGGGAGAAAUGAUCUAAGUAACUCUUGAACAUGUAUUUUGAACACAUGCUUUGAAUUUAAAAACAAAAUCAUGACAAAUUUCUGACUCUUCUUAAUAGAUCUGUGCCCAGAAGUAAUGAAAAUGUCUGUGUCUUGGCUUUGUAAGCUUUCCACUCCCAUUCAUUCAAUCCACAGGGUUAUUGCUCAGAGCUAUUGGUGUACACCUGUAAGCUAGUCCCUUGAAGCUUAAUUUGAACGAUGAUACAGCAGUGAUAUCAUGGACUUCAGAAGACGACAGAUAAGCUCACAGGAAACAUCCUGACCAGGCCCACCUAUGCAUGGCUGCAGGAAAGAAGAAAUUAACAUCCACCCCCUCCAGAGUCUGGCUGGAACUAGGAAAUAUUUGCAACAUCUUAUUGCCUUUUUUUUUUACUUUAUCUCCUCACUUCCCCCUCUUUGCUCUAUGAAAGAAACUAGCAUACAAACCCAGGCAAGAUGGUUUUUUGGAACACUAGUCUACCAUCUUCUCUGCUGGCUUUCUGAAUAAAGUUGCUAUUCCUUGCCC